ACCGGCAGAUUCGACACAGAAUGCGCGCUCCUUCAGAGACUCCAGAGGGCUCGCCCCACCUUGGGCGCUUGGGAGGGCUGCGGGAUCUCAGCUGACGACCUUCCGGAGAUGGGCUUCCUCCCUUCUGCCCCAAAGGUCCAGGCUGUUACAGCAGAGGCUAAAGCACAGAGGUGCCCUGAGGAAGAUUCUAAAUCCAGAGGUCACCUGUGUGGCUCAGUCAGAUGAGCGUCUG